rnacentral:tRNA from 1 species
GGAGAGGUGGCUGAGUGGUUGAAAGCACCGCACUCGAAAUGCGGCAUGGGGGGGCAACUCCAUCGGGGGGGGUUCGAAUCCCUCCCUCUCCG